AGUGAACGCUGGCGGUAGGCCUAACACAUGCAAGUCGAACGGCAGCACAGUAAGAGCUUGCUCUUACGGGUGGCGAGUGGCGGACGGGUGAGGAAUACAUCGGAAUCUACUUUUUCGUGGGGGAUAACGUAGGGAAACUUAUGCUAAUACCGCAUACGACCUACGGGUGAAAGCAGGGGAUCUUCGGACCUUGCGCGAUUGAAUGAGCCGAUGUCGGAUUAGCUAGUUGGCGGGGUAAAGGCCCACCAAGGCGACGAUCCGUAGCUGGUCUGAGAGGAUGAUCAGCCACACUGGAACUGAGACACGGUCCAGACUCCUACGGGAGGCAGCAGUAGGGAAUAUUGGACAAUGGGCGCAAGCCUGAUCCAGCCAUACCGCGUGAGUGAAGAAGGCCUUCGGGUUGUAAAGCCCUUUUGUUGGGGAAGAAAAGCAGCAGGUUAAUACCCCGCUGUUCUGACGGUACCCAAAGAAUAAGCACCGGCUAACUUCGUG
rnacentral:rRNA from 1 species